UUCUGCUUUUCCUCGUUUUCCCACUUCUUCGUCUCUGUCUUCUCUCUUUUCCUCUUCCAGGCUCUCAGCUCCCUUGUACUUCGUCUCUGGUGCCAUGGAAUUUAGGGUUUAGUCAGUCACUCGAUCAAGGAACUUUUAUUGUUAUUCUAAAGAAAGACUCCCAGAAGCUCCUGCAAUGGCAGCUUCUUUAGCCGCCUCUACUUCACUGUUACCAGAACCCACGUUUCUCCGUCCAGAAACUAGUCGUAGACUUCGAGUUCCUCUCUACCGAUUCCAGGUUCAGAAUUCUAGGUAUAAUUUGGUUCUGCGGACUAGAUUCAGAGCGGUUCAGGAAGAACGGACUGCAGUUCUGAAGGAAGAGGAAGAAAGUGAAGACUCAUUGCGAAAUGAAGUGACUGUCUUGAAUUUGAAUGGUAAUGGCGGUAGAUACAGCUAUAACGGUUCGGUUGGGAGCUCCAAUGGCAGUGCUAGUGUUAUUAUUAAUGGAAAUGGAGCCGUUAAUGGGAGUCUGGUGAAGUAUGUUAAUGGGAAUGGCGCUGCCGCAUCGGUCGUUGAAGAAGUUUCUAUUUCGAAAUCAGAGGCGGUGGAGGAGAAGAAAAAGACUGUAGAGGACAUAGGACAGGAAGAAGCCUGGUUUAAGCAAGGUGGACGAGAUAAACUCGAGGUUUCUGUUGCACCUGGUGGCCGUUGGAACAGAUUUAAAACCUAUUCAACAAUACAAAGAACUCUUGAAAUAUGGGGAUUUGUACUGACAUUUCUAUUUAGAACUUGGUUGAACAAUCAGAAGUUCUCUUAUCGAGGAGAAAUGACAGAGGAGAAAAAGGUUAAUAGGCGUAAAGAGCUUGCUAAGUGGUUAAAGGAAAGUGUUUUGAGAUUGGGCCCAACAUUCAUCAAAAUUGGCCAGCAGUUCUCCACAAGAGUAGACAUUCUUCCUCAGGAAUAUGUUGAUCAGUUGUCUGAACUUCAGGAUCAAGUUCCUCCAUUCCCAUCGGAAACUGCUGCAUCUAUAAUUGAGGAAGAGCUUGGUCCUGUGGAUGAUAUUUUUGAUCGUUUCGACUAUGAGCCAAUAGCUGCUGCUAGUCUUGGCCAGGUCCAUCGUGCAAAAGUGAAGGGGCAAGAAGUUGUGGUCAAAGUACAAAGGCCUGGGCUUAAGGAACUUUUUGAUAUUGAUUUGAAAAAUCUAAGGGUAAUAUCAGAAUAUCUUCAGAAAGUUGACCCCAAGUCUGAUGGUGCAAAGAGGGAUUGGGUUGCCAUCUAUGAUGAAUGUGCAAGUGUCCUAUAUCAGGAGAUCGAUUAUACAAAGGAAGCAUCUAAUGCAGAACGGUUUGCAAAUAACUUCAAAAACAUGGAUUAUGUAAAAGUCCCAACAAUAUUGUGGGAAUACACUACGCCACAGGUUCUGACAAUGGAAUAUGUCCCUGGAAUAAAGAUAAACAGGAUAAAAGCUUUGGAUGAGUUGGGUGUUGAUCGGCAAAGGUUGGGCCGCUAUGCUGUUGAAUCUUACUUGGAACAGAUAUUAUCUCAUGGUUUUUUCCAUGCUGACCCUCAUCCUGGAAAUAUUGCUGUGGAUGAUGUGAAUGGUGGACGGCUUAUCUUCUACGACUUCGGAAUGAUGGGAAGUAUCAGUCCAAAUAUCAGAGAGGGCCUACUUGAAGCAUUCUAUGCAAUUUAUGAGAAGGACCCUGAUAAAGUGCUUCAGGCCAUGAUCCAGAUGGGUGUUCUCGUGCCUACUGGAGAUAUGACAGCUGUUAGAAGGACAGCGCAAUUCUUUCUUAAUAGCUUUGAGGAGCGCCUUGCAGCGCAAAGGAAAGAGAGAGAGAUAGCUAAAACAGAGCUUGGCUUUAAAAAACCAUUAACUAAGGAGGAAAGGAUAGAGAAAAAGAAGCAACGGCUAGCUGCAAUUGGGGAGGAUCUAUUGGCAAUUGCUGCAGAUCAACCUUUUCGUUUUCCUGCCACUUUCACGUUUGUUGUUAGAGCAUUUUCAGUAUUGGAUGGCAUUGGGAAGGGUCUUGACCCUCGAUUUGACAUUACAGAAAUUGCCAAACCUUAUGCCAUGGAAUUGCUGAGGUUUCGUGAAGCUGGAGUUGAAGUUAUCAUAAAGGACUUCAAAAAGAGAUGGGACCGACAAUCCCGUGCAUUUGCCAACAUAUUUAGACAGGCUGACAGAGUUGAGAAGCUUGCUGAAAUCAUUCAGCGCUUGGAACAAGGUAAUCUGAAGCUUCGUGUUCGAACUUUGGAGUCUGAGAGGGCUUUCCAACGUGUUGCAGCUGUUCAAAAGACAGUGGGAAAUGCAGUGGUUGCUGGAAGUCUACUAAACCUGGCAACAGUACUGUAUCUAAAUUCAAUUCGAGUUCCUGCUAUGGUAGGAUACGUACUUUGUGCAUUUUUUGGCAUUCAAAUUUUCUUUGGCAUUCUCAAGGUCAAAAAAUUAGAUCAACAAGAGAAGCUGAUAACAGGCACAGCCUGAACCAUUGGUGACCAGGCUAGGGAUAGGGGUCAUUGCCUGAUAUGAUGGUAAAAUCUCAGGCUGAAAAAGGUUUUUGAAUGCCAAAUGUCAGGUUCAGCCUUAAGCUUUUUGGUUGUAAAGCAAUCUCCAACAAUUUUUAGAAGCAAACAAGCCGAAGAACUGUGAAGAGUGGUUUUCUCUGUGAAUAUGAACUCAAACUUGCCAACAUUCAUGUUUUCCUAUGAUGCAAAGAAAAGAAGGUUAUCACAGUUGGCAUUGAGUCCUUGCAGAACAGUUCUGAUCCCCUCAUUAAAAGGUUUUUGUUAUACGACAUUUUGCGUCCAAGAGUUGGACUUUUUGUAACGGAACAUUUGCAGAAAAAAAUCGGUGUCAUGAUAUAUCAGCAAUAAUCUUACUCAAUUCAUGACAGCUUUGAGCCUAAAUGUAGAAUCACUGUUUUCAAGAGCCUCCUAAGUUGGCAACCCAAAACCAUCAUCCUUGCUUUGAACAAGAAUGUCCACAAGUGUCUACAAGUGUAAAUUGUGAACAACUUCUGGUGUAUCAUAUUAAUAACCUUUUGUAUAUGUUUUCUGAGGUUCAUAAUGAAAUGUCAAAUAAUUUAUGAACGAAA